rnacentral:tRNA from 1 species
CCUUCGGUAGCUCAGCUGAUAGAGCGGAGGACUGUAGAUCCUUAGGUCGCUGGUUCAAUUCCGGCUCAAAGGA